GGCUUCUCUCGCUGAGAUAAAGCGUUUUUGGCCACUAACAGUAAAAAAGCUUAAAACUCAAAAUUUUGAACUGGUUCCACCUUCAAACAACCAGAUCUAUUGCUUCUUAUUUAAGAAAAUAAUACUUAAGCUGCAUUCAUGAAUUUCUGUAUUUGGUCGUUAUCUCUAAAAUACGUUUACUUUUUAUGUUGAAUACCAGACCUCUUUUCCACAGUUUUUUCACUUAGUUCCACGACUGCAGUGGAUUUUGUAGUCAAUGUUAAAAUCCAGCACAAAAUCUGAAGCGAUGGAGGAAAUUUACGUCAAUAUGGAACCUUUUGAACAAACUGCAUCUAAUCACACGGGUAAGAAUGAAGUUACAGAGAAAUCUAGUAUGUAUGUUAUUCAAUUUUUUCUAAUGUUAAGGUUUGGAGCAGCUCCAAAGAGAGGCUCGGCCUCGGUGUGGUCGUAUGCUUGGGAAUCCUGAAUGUUUUAAUUCUGGCUGAACUCAUAGGCCUCAGUGUACACAUUUAUGACAUGACAGCAGAUUUUUCUGACAUCUGCAACAUGCUCACCGAACAGAACAGCAAGUUUCUCUCCAUGAACUCUAACUUCACUGAAACGGCUCCACAAGCUGAAGACGCUUUAUGAACAGACAAACAUCAGUUGUUCCUGUUAAUCCAGGGGCUGCAGAAGAAGAGAAGAGCAGAUCCAGUAGUGAUGGAUGAUUAGGAUUUGUGUUCACUGUGAUAUUAUUCAUCAAUAAUAAUGUAGCUUAUUAGUAUGCUGUUACAUAAAACCAUAAAGAUAAAUUGUACACUUCCAACUGUUGUGACUUAUAAAGCAACAAUUUUA